rnacentral:rRNA from 1 species
GAUGAACGCUGGCGGCGUGCUUAACACAUGCAAGUCGAACGGUGAAGCAGGAGCUUGCUCUUGUGGAUCAGUGGCGAACGGGUGAGUAACACGUGAGCAACCUGCCCCUGACUCUGGGAUAAGCGCUGGAAACGGCGUCUAAUACUGGAUAUGUGAUGUGACCGCAUGGUCUGCAUCUGGAAAGAAUCUCGGUUGGGGAGGGGCUCGCGGCCUAUCAGCUUGUUGGUGAGGUAAUGGCUCACCAAGGCGUCGACGGGUAGCCGGUCUGAGAGGGUGACCGGCCACACUGGGACUGAGACACGGCCCAGACUCCUACGGGAGGCAGCAGUGGGGAAUAUUGCACAAUGGGCGGAAGCCUGAUGCAGCAACGCCGCGUGAGGGAUGACGGCCUUCGGGUUGUAAACCUCUUUUAGCAGGGAAGAAGCGAAAGUGACGGUACCUGCAGAAAAAGCACCGGCUAACUACGUGCCAGCAGCCGCAGUAA